rnacentral:misc_RNA from 1 species
UCUCUCUGUAUCUCUCUCUCUCUCAUUUCUUCUCUCUCCCGUUUAUAUGUCUCUCUUCGUCUCUCUUCCAUUUUUGUCUCUCCCUUAUUUCUCUCUUUGCCCUCCUCUCCCCCUUAUUCAUUUCUCCCUCCUCUUAGCUCUUUUCUCUUUCUCUCCAUGUUUCUCUCUCUAUCUCCUUUGCUGUUUGUCUAUCUCCUUCAUGCAGGUAUAAAAAUGGAGAGGAAGAAUAGAGCCAUAAAUGUAAGAGAGAGAGAGAGACAGAG